CGGACGCCCAGCCCCGCUCUGACAUUAGCAAAGGGCAAAGCUCUCUCACCAGACCCGCUUAAAGGAGGCCGGUCGCACUGUUCUCCCCAGACUGAUUGCGUGCCUGCUUAGAUCCAGGUGGAUCCUGAAGACUCAGGGAUGAGUAAUAAUGCAACUAGCCACGACUAGGCACAUGGCAGAUACCCACAGAUCACGGCUUCCGUCCCUGUGUGAACCCAGACUGCCUUCUGACCUCACUGGGUAUUCAACUCUGAUUGCUGGGAGUGACGGCCUGAAGGUUUGUGCUGAGGAGGAGUCUGAAGAUCGAUCUGGGAUCAAGAGGACAAGGUCACAAUUAAUGACAUCUGUCAGGACCUCAGGAGAGAACAGACAGGUAUGUGUGCCCAUCAUACCUGCCUCCCCUCAUCUGUGCUCCCGCUGCACUGGCCUCCUGUUCGUUCCUCCCAAGUCCAGGAACACCUCUAUCUCAGGACCUUUGCACUUGCUUCCCCCAGCCUGGAAUACUCUUCCCCCCAGUACGCAUGACUGUCUCACUUCCCUGGCCUCUACUCAAAUGUCUUCUUGCUGGUACAGCCUUUCCCCUACUGAAAACAGCAGCGCCUACCCUCACUCCAACACACUCAGUCCCUUUCCUGCUUUAGUUUUCUGUUUCACAACGACCCCUUCUUCACAUGCUGUGCGUUUUCUUUAUUGGUCUUUAUUAUUAUUUAUUCCCCCUCUAGCUCUGCCUCUGUGCUCAAGCUCUAUACUCCAGAAGUCUCUGUGCUCCCUGAUUCCCGGGUCCUCGCACAUGCUGUUCCCCCUAUUAGGAAGACAAUACCCUCCCCUGCCACCGCCCUCUCUGGCUAAUUCUUCUUCAUCUUUCAGAUGUCUGCUAUACGUCCCCUGUGUCUGGAACAGUCCAGAUUGUGAGACCUCGGGUGCAGAGGCCACAUCCAUUGUAUGUGUGUUAUUCUGUAUUCUGUCCACAGUACUGCCUGGGGCCCAGCAUACCAUGGGUGCUCAAUAA
rnacentral:lncRNA from 12 species